GAGGAUGGAGAAUCGCACCAAGCCUGGAGGAAGUCUCCAAGGGACCAGCUCUGUUAGCAUUGCACUGUGUUGGGCAGCCUUUGGGACCAGGGCAGGGAAGGAACAAAUAGCACUCUCCUGUGUCAGCAAAAAAGAAGUACUUGUCAUGAGACUGGACCAAGGGGAAAAGACAAAAGGUGAAGAAAAGCCUGAAGUCUGCUUCCACGACUGGCACUGAGGAUGCAGGAGCUGAGCAUCACGCUGCCUCUUCACCAUCCAGAAGCCAAAGCUUCCCAGUCACGUUGGUAACACUGGCUAAGUGUAGGCUUUGUUCUGCAUGCCCAGAUACCUGCUACUUUCAGUGUUUCACACACAGCCUUACAAGCUGAUGUGACUGGAGCAGCAGAGAGGACAGAGCUUCAGGGGGCAGCGCGCUGGAGCAUGGGAACACAUCUGGGUCCCGGUGUGUCUCAGGUGGAUAUUAAUCGUCACCCUUGCUUACAGCAGUCAAGUCAAUAUCCAAACGCAUCCAUAAGGACGUCAGAGACACAUUGAUAACUUUCUUUCUUCAUCUCUGAAAGUCGUGAGACUCUCCAGAGCACUUAUAAAAUUGCAUGUCACUUUCCUAAGCUUAAAAUGAUUUGGAGCAGAAGCCCAUCGCCUCGUUUGUCUCCCCAGCCAGUCAAUAAAUCUGACAGAUGUCCCUGAGUUAUAGCUGGAGUGUUGGAUCUUCAGAGUACAAGCCACUUGCUUCGUUCCUAAGAAGGAACACACGUGCCUCCCAGAAGCCCAGGGUGGGAGAGAUUUCUCUGCGGGUUCUUGGUCACGUGCAAGCCUCGUUCCUUCUGUCAUAAAGCUCGAUUAUGAGGCUGUAAAAGAAGUAGGUGGAGAAUGUUUUUUGCGAGAGCCAACAGCGAGAGGAAGAGCGUCAGCGGAGAGAGGGAAUCGCUCCCCAAGGAGGUGAACCCGGCGUGUGGAAUUGAUGAAGACAGUCGA